AAUUAUGCUGUCUGUAGAAUAGGAACCAUGUUCACCUGUUCACAGCACUGGCAUUCUUACACAGCUGUGAAUGUUACUCCAUCAGUCUAACUUGCUGUAACCAGGGGUAACAACCAGGAGUAACAGAACUGGGGGCCAUGCUGAGGCCGGUGCCUGGCAGCAGGAGGUGAGGAUGGUGAUCUCCUCUUCCUCUCCCCAUGCAGCUCUCUGGUGACAUCUGCUCUCUCCGACUCUCCUAUCACUCACAGCUCCAGUGUGUAAUUGCUUGCUUUCUGUUUGAACCAGAAAGUGCUCAGGUCCUGAUGACACCUGUCUGGAUAUUGCCACAUCUCUGCACACAGCUCUGCUGGCUGUGCUCGUCUUUAUUCCUUUGGGAAUUCUUAGGGAAAAGAAAAGGCUGAAGCUUCCUGGAGAGCCAAGGAGCAACAGCUCCAGGUGUGCGGCCAUGGGAAGAUUGGAAACAAUAUUCUUCUGAUGCUCAGUGCGCUCAGCCCGCGUGCGUGUGCGGCUGUUGCAGUGGAGGAGGAGGACAAACUUUGCUACCUGUGAGACGAAGGCUGGUAGCACUGGAAAUGAAAACAGUUCCAUUUACGAUACUGUUCUCAGGCUCCAUAAAUGAACACCUUGAUGGCUUCAUUGGGAAUUCCUUAUGGAGAAGAAGGAGAAAUGAUCAUCUGAGUUCUCCUGAAGAUGGGAGUCAGGACCAGACAGGCCCCAGCAACGUUCCUAAGGCACAGAAUGUCACCUGUCACCUCUUUUCCUCCUACAGUUCCUCACCAAGGUUCAGGUGAAUGUUGGCUGAGGGAGAAGGAAUAAAGCAGUGUUUUACAGCAACCCAGCGGCACAGAAGGAUCUGCCAGUACUGGUGAAGUCCCUUCUCUAAACCAGACAACAGAAGCUGCUUUCCCAGUUUAUGGUUGCUCCUUCCCACUGGCAAACGACCUCGGGGGGGAUCUGCUUCCUAGGUUGUGCCUGCUGCGAGGUGGAGACGAAGAAGUGCGCAUCCAUCCUUUUUUGCCUUCUUGCUGCAAACUCACCAACAAGGCCAUUCAGGACUGAAUUCAUUCCCAGAUCUCCUUUUGGCAGCUGGAUGAGAAGGGAAUGCCACCACAAAGGAGGGAUCGCUGAGGCGAGGCUGAAGUUGUGUUCAAAGGCAGCAGCAGUGCUGUGCAUUGCAGAUGUCAUAGAAUCACCGCCGUGAUCAGUCAGCCUCUUCCCUGGAGUGACUCUGAGUUCUGACUGCACUGGGGGAAAUCAAGACCUGAGCAGAUCCUUUUUUAUUUCCAUUCAUUCUCAGGGUGGUUCUUCUCAAACCAAAAGGAGCAGUCAGAAAGCACUCCUCGUCCAGUUGGGCCUAGCAAUAUGGCAGCGCACAUUCGAUGCUGAACCCUUGCUCCUCCUGUUCUUGGUCUGAAUUUUGGGCGCUGGGAGCUCUGGAAAAGCUGAAUGCUUUUGAAGGAAGAAAUGCUGUCAGAUAGCAGAGUUGGAGCUGGGGGAAUUCUCUGGAUCGGUUCGUGAAGCGAAAGGAUCCUUUCUCUUUAAAAAUAGAAUGACAAUAGCACCCCGGCCCAGAAAUGACUCCUCUGAAAGUUAAAACAACUCUGAGGCAGUUGCUGUCUGCUUCCACCGGGCUGCCAGCGUGGAAAUGAGACCACUUCUUGCGGGAUGGGGAGGUUGAAAGAUUCGGAGCUCAACAGUCUUUUAGAAACAUGUUAGCAGAAUUGGAGUCGGGUAGAAAAAAUACAACCAUCCCCUCUCUCUGCUGAGUCACUGUCAGAAUAGACCUUCUUGGGUUUGAAGGGUUGAGGAUAAUGAGUAAUCUGGACGGAGCAGCUUUCUUCCAAGGACCUCAGAACUCUCUGCAGAUGUGCUUCUCUCUGCAAAAUGGCUCUCACUCCAUUUCUGUGAGAACUCUUCCCGCAAACUGGGUCCCUAAGAGGAUUAGUGAAGGGGAUACCAAUUUAUUUAUACUCACCUCAGCAUGGUAGCAGCCAAACACUGUAAGUUGCUGGAUUAUUAAAUGGCCUGU
rnacentral:lncRNA from 7 species